rnacentral:lncRNA from 1 species
AUAAUCAAUCAAUUUCUCAAAUUAGUACAAAUUAAUACAUAAAUAAAUUUAGGAUAUCAAUUAAAAGUUUCUUUAAAUGUUGCAUAAUUUAAUUACCAAAAUAACCUCGCAUGAUGUAACCCUUUUACCUGCUAAAUGUUAAAAUUAUAUUUUUACCCUUUAUUAAUCAACGGUUAAGAUCUAUUUUAUUUUUUUAAUAAUAAAGUACCGAAUCAUUUCUCUAGAUUUAUAUGUCUCACCAAUUUUAUUGAUCCUUUAAUACGAAAAACUGAAGCUUUUUAUUGCCGAGGUAUUUGAUAGUUUUGUUUGAAUUCAUAUGUCAAAAGAAAAUAUUUGUCUCAAAUAUACAUCAACAUACAUUAGUCUGAAGAUAUUUAAUUAAACGUCAUUAAUUUUGUAAAUAAUAUAUAAAAUAUUUAUAAUAUUUUAAUGUAAUAUUUGUUAUUAACAUGUUACAAUACAAUUGAUUUAAUUGUUGCCCUUUUAUCUCGGUUGAAUAUAAAUAUAAAAAUUAGUUUUUUUUUAAAGCUUAAAUUUUUUUGAAAAAUUAAAUAUUCUGUGUAAUUUAAGAUAGGGUAAACUUUAAGUUCCACUCAUAUGAUUUCGCACUUUUUUACUUUAGUAUUUGUGUUUAAAAUAUAUUAAUUUAAUAUCCUAUAAUUUUAUUUUUUAUUUUUUUGCCUGCUCCUCUAUUAACAUUUUAUUAAAUUAUAUAUAAAAAACUUUCGAUACCCACCUAAAUUUAUCGAAUAUUUACUUUAAUAUUUUAAAUUAUAGAAUACUAAAAUAAAAA